AUUGAACGCUGGCGGCAUGCCUUACACAUGCAAGUCGAACGGCAGCAUGAUCUAGCUUGCUCGAUUGAUGGCGAGUGGCGAACGGGUGAGUAAUACAUCGGAACGUGCCCUGUAGUGGGGGAUAACUAGUCGAAAGAUUAGCUAAUACCGCAUACGACCUGAGGGUGAAAGUGGGGGACCGCAAGGCCUCCUGCUAUAGGAGCGGCCGAUGUCUGAUUAGCUAGUUGGUGAGGUAAAGGCUCACCAAGGCGACGAUCAGUAGCUGGUCUGAGAGGACGAUCAGCCACACUGGGACUGAGACACGGCCCAGACUCCUACGGGAGGCAGCAGUGGGGAAUUUUGGACAAUGGGCGAAAGCCUGAUCCAGCAAUGCCGCGUGUGUGAAGAAGGCCUUCGGGUUGUAAAGCACUUUUGUCCGGAAAGAAAUGGCUCUGGUUAAUACCUGGGGUCGAUGACGGUACCGGAAGAAUAAGGACCGGCUAACUACGUG
rnacentral:rRNA from 1 species